rnacentral:rRNA from 1 species
CGCGAAUCGCCCUUCGGGGUGCCCAGGCGCGAAAACUUUGCAAUAAGCGAAAGCUUGACAGGGCUAUCCCGAGUGCCAUCCGCUGAGGAAGGCUUUUACCCAGUCUAGAACGCUGGGGGAAUAAGGAGAGGGCAAGUCUGGUGUCAGCCGCCGCGGUAAUACCAGCUCUCCGAGUGGUGUGGAUGUUUAUUGGGCCUAAAGCAUCCGUAGCUGGCUAGGUUAGUCCCCUGUUAAAUCCACCGAAUUAAUCGUUGGAUUGCGGGGGAUACUGCUUGGCUAGGGGACGAGAGAGGCAGACGGUAUUUCCGGGGUAGGGGUGAAAUCCUAUAAUCCCGGGAAGACCACCAGUGGCGAAGGCUGUCUGCUAGAACGCGCCCGACGGUGAGGGAUGAAAGCUGGGGGAGCGAACCGGAUUAGAUACCCGGGUAGUCCCAGCUGUAAACGAUGCAGACUAGGUGUUUGGACGGCCACGUGCCGUUCUAGUGCCGCAGGGAAGCUGUUAAGUCUGCCGCCUGGGGAGUACGAUCGCAAGAUUGAAACUUAAAGGAAUUGGCGGGGGAGCAC